AAACAUUUCAAUGGGCCAUUGACCUAGCUAGUGACUUUAAAAAAUAGAUUUGGUCUUUAAGUUUUAGAUUAUACACACACAACAUAGGAAAGCCUCUGGUGACAAAAUAGGGUCAAUGGAAUUAGAAUGAUGACCAGGAAUUGUAUAGGAUUCUAAUGGUAACCAUGGAGUUCCAAACUCAUUUCUAUGGCAACACAGCUGUCAAUUUUAUAAACAACAAUUUCAAAUAUAUGCGUUGCCAUGAGACAUCUAACCGUUAGAACAUAUUGGCGUUCUAUUGAACGUUUUCUGUUCGAAAACAAGAACAACUUCAAUUUGCUGUUCAACAACAACAAACUUGACUGAUUUUUGAGACCUGAGAUUAAAACAUCGAUAGGAAAAUGCCUGGGUGCUUUUCAAGAUUGACAGAGAGAGUGCGAGGACGUCGGCAGCCUUCUGCGUCGACAGGUUGUUCAAAUUCAUUUAUGGGUUGUUUUUGUUGUCUUUUUCCGUUUUGCAGGGUUCGCGAUCGUCGGGAGGUGGACAGCGACAGCGACUUCGAAGAGGAAUCAACUGUACUGGAUGAGGUCCAGUUGGAUGUGCCACUGCUGCCAGUUAUCCUUCAUGUCCAGGAUGCUGCUAUCAUCCUUGAGGAUGUGCCGACUAUCCUUGAGGAGCCCACUGGUAAUUGGCAGCUGAUACCGAUUAGGUUCAGCCCC